rnacentral:rRNA from 1 species
CCUACGGGUAGGCAGCAGUGGGGAAUAUUGCACAAUGGGCGCAAGCCUGAUGCAGCCAUGCCGCGUGUGUGAAGAAGGCCUUCGGGUUGUAAAGCACUUUCAGUCAGGAGGAAAGGUUAGUAGUUAAUACCUGCUAGCUGUGACGUUACUGACAGAAGAAGCACCGGCUAACUCCGUGCCAGCAGCCGCGGUAAUA